CAGAAAACUUGCAGCAAGUUAGAUGCGACGCAGGCCCGAGGAGGUGGCUUUCGCCUCAACUUGGAAGGCUGGGCAUUAAGGGUGCGGACGCCAACCGCCUCGCCUGGGGAUUGGAAACCCAAAUCUCCCUCCUCCUUUUCCUCUUGCCCUCCUUUCAGCCCUCCCUGCCCUUUAUCCAUAUUUUCUUGCAAUUCUGUCGUAACUGCAUUUUCUGCAUUCUCGUGUCUUUCUAUAUUUCUUUUGCAAUCUCGUUUCCCCCAAUUUACCUUCUUUGUAAAUUUUUUUGGUGCUUACUUUCUAUGUCCAGAUUUAUCAGUUCGUUUUCAAAACAGUGUUUAAAAUGCAAUUAAUCUACCAGCAGGAGGUCACGGACACCCUGACUAAAAUAACUCCUGGGUCUUAAGAGACAAGUUCACCAGGUGUCAGGAAAAAGUGAAAUAAUAAUGAAAAUAAAUGAGUAUCUCAGUGACUAUAACAGCUUAUUACUCUAUUAUUAUAUCAGCUCUCACAGACUUUUUUUUUUAAAGAGAUAUAAUCUUUCCGGAAAAACACGAAAGUAUUUGACAAGGAGAAUCAUUAUAAUUAAGGCAGUAUGUAAAUUGUUCGUACUUAUAAAUAAAUUAUUUUAAUCAUGCAUAUCAGACUUUAGAAAUUAUCGUAGGUAAAUUCAAGAAACAAACUGGUUUUUCUUUUCAUGAUUAUUAGAAAGUGUAAAAAAGAAAACGCCCAAAGCUGUCUGUCUGUCUGCCCCCCAACAUAGACUGAUCAGUUCAGGGAGAAGCAUCCUGUUCUGCGUUCUGUUUAAGCGCAAAGCAGAGCCACAACGUGGUGUGUGGAGUGUCUUGCUGGCCAGGUUCCUGUCCAUUUCCUAGCAGGUGAGUGAACAUGAGGCUUCCUAUGUCAUGAACUGGCUACACUUAUAAUUUUCAUGAUGAUUAUAAUUAUUGCUCUUUCCUACACUUUGAACACAUUUGUAGUUCUCCUACUGAAAACCAGAGUUUGCUCUUGUUUACAAUUUGUUUACUUCAUUGAAUUUUUAAAACUUGUUACAAGUCAAUUGAACAUAUACAUUAAUCCCUUUUUUUAGGCCAAGAAAAAAAAAUAAAGAUGCAUUAGAAAGAUGCCUUUUAAGCUUCAUAAUUAUUAAUUGACAUUUUAUGAUGAAUAAUUAAUCAUCUGAAUAAUUUUGGUAUCUCUGAUCUGAACACAUAUUUGCAUAUCUAAUGCUUGAUUUUCCUAAAUGUGUUUUUUAAGAUUCAUUCUUUCAGGACAAAGAAAUAAAGCAAUAUUUUUAAAUGUAACAUUUCUGUACUUGUAAAAGUUUGCUAUUCUAUUCUAUUCUUUCUGGAGAUCCAUAAAACUUCUUAACAAUUUGUAAACCAUUUAUGUUGCAAGCACAUUGAAACACAUGGCAGCUGUACAAUUAGGGAAACGAUCUCUAUGUGAAAUCAAGUAACUGUUCUUCCUAAAUUCAGAUACAUGCACUAAUUACGCACCAUAUAUCCUUACUGAAAUGUGGUCAUUGAACUUCUUGGUUGAUUUACCAUGGCAUAAGCAGACAUAUGAGGCAUUUGACAAACAAUUCAAGUUUGGUAUUUAGAUAAGUUUUCAUUUUUUUUUUACUUAUUCAUAUGUAGGCUGCUUGAAGUUACUUAAAAAUGAUUAAGCACGUCUGUCCAUGUUAUUUUUAUGAUGCUGAAGUUCAAAUGUCUAUGUAAUUAUUCCUUUUAUGAUUGCAAGCAAUCUAUUCUAAACUUGUUUCUUUAGCUCCAGUGGGUACAGUAACGGCACCUAUCCCUCAGGGAUAGCUGAGGUAAUGCAUGAAGCUUCACUGUGUUGUAGUUUAUUAUAAGGAAAAUUUGGACAAACAGUAUUGAACAUGCAGGCCAGACAAAGCCAGUAACAAAUAGUUUUGAAUAUGGUAGGAUUUAUCGUUACUUAUGAUUUUCUGAGACUGUCCAAAGGAUGCCUCGUCACCAAAGCACAAAUAAAUGGGGCUUUUCCUUUCUGCUAAUUCAGCAGCUAAUUUAUUAUAUUCAAUGUGGUCCUAAUUUGGUUAUAAAUAUCAGAUUCCUUUGAAAGGGAAUUUAGCCCAAAUGUCUGAAUGUGACAUUCCCUGUGUCCUGUAAUCACAUACUGUCUUUGAGUUUAAAGGUUAAACGUGCAAAAGCCCAGAAGCAAUCUUAAGUAAGAGUCCGGAAUAAAAGGAGACAAACUCGCAAAUUUGGAGACAAGGAGUUUGGCUGCCACAGUGUUUUGCUUUAAGACCACUCAUAUUGAGGUGAGCACUCCCUUUAGUUACUGUGGCCUGGGCUUUAUGAUUAGCCCAGCAUCCAUAGUGGGGCUGAAUUCAGUUUAUUAACUGGGGAAUGAAUUCCCCUAGUCUCUUAAACGUCUGCAAGGCCAGAGUUUCUUUUUGAUGCAAAGCUGAAAAUCAAUGCAAAUGCUGGGUGGAAAGUCCUUCUACAUUUUGGCAGAACACUGGAGGCUUUGUGUUGUCUUUCAAGACCUGUAGGAGCAUUUAUAAUUAUCUGUAGUCCUUAAAGGGUCCUUUAAUUGUCUCCUUUCUUAAAGGAUCCAUUCUAUAUUUCCAAGGCUAAAACUACUACAGGGAACCUGUGGCAUUGGCUUACGGGUCUGGAGUGACCCUUGCCGUUCUGUGUUUCACCUGCUAAUGGGAUUACAACCAGCUUGCACCUACGAAUUGUCUGAUUUGUUUUAUAUUCCUCUGAAGUCUUUAACUCCCCAUAAGUUGCCAAAAGUUCAGAACUAUAAACUUUGGCCUGGCAGCUGAUGGGAUGCUUGAGCCAAGACCUGAAAGCCCAGACUCAACCCUCAGGACCCAGUGGUGGCAGGUAGGAACUGACUCCUCCUCCACUUUGCUCUCUGACCUCCACACGUACACCAUGACGUGUGCACCCACAACAGAAACACAAUAGCACAACUCAGUAAAUAAAUGCACACCAAAUAAUUUUAAACUUUGCGUUAUAUUUGGUUCUGGUUCCACACCAUUCUAAGGAUUGGCGGAGGCCAUGGUAAUCUGCAGUGUAAAGAAAGCUCUUUCUCUGGAGUUGACACAAGGCUAAAUCAUCUCACCUAUCAUUUAAUUCUGACAGAAGAUCCAAAGGCGUUAACCUUACACACCACAUUUCCAAGAGACUGUUGGCUUGGGAGAAUCAACGACUUACCCAGAAUUUAAUCAUCUGGCUGCUCAUGGGCCUUCCAUUCUGCUAAGUCCGUCAUCAAAGCCAAAGCUACACUCAUGGAACAACCAAUGUGGUCUUUCAAGGGCUCCUCCUGAUUCAUCUGUAAUCAGUGUUUGUGUGCUCAUCUCAACUCAGCCACAGUCUUCCUGGAUGCUGCACUUGGCCCGCGUCUUUCCAUGUUUUACUUUCCCUUCUAGGCCAACAUUGGUACUCACUUUUUUCAGUUACAGUUCAAGUUCUUAAAUACUUCUUCCGAUUUUGGUGCCUCAGGCUUUCAGAACGUGUUUCCCCCGACCCAGCUCUCUUUGCCAGGGUCCCCCACUCAGGAAAGCUGAGAGCAAUCCCCUCUCAAGGGAUUGCAGCUGUGGCCUAAGCACUGGGCUUAUGCAUUACAUGAUUCAGGACAGAGACAUCAUCACCCACACAUCGCAGAAUAGCUUUGGUUCUUCCUAUGACUUCCUCUAGCGUGCUUGAGUAGUACUUGACCAUUGUUGUAGUGUAUUCUACACUAGCUUACUUUAAUUAUCCUUGGUACUAGCAUAGCGUGCUGGCUAGAUUUGUGUCAACGUGGCAAAAGCUAGAGAGGGGAGGACUUCGAUUGCAAGGAUGCAUUGUCUUAAUUAGGGAUCCGUGUGGGAGAGUGGCCAUCUUUGGGUUUCCAUACAUAAGUAGGCUGAGGAAGUCGGUAAAGCAGCACCCCUCCAUGGCCUCUGCAUCAGCUCCUGGCUCCAGGUUCCUUCCCAGUUUGAAUUCCAGCCCUUCCCUGAAGAACAGUGAUAUGGAAGUGUAAGCUAAAUACAACCUUUCCUCUCCAGGUUGCUUGGUCAUGGUGUUUCACCACAGCAUAGCAUAGUUUCAAAUGUGCUUUGAAACGUACGUAGACCAGGAUUUAACUCCUUGUUUUGUGAGAAUUAAUCUUGUGUUGAGCAGAUACUGUUUAACCCCAUGAACCUCAGUUUAGAAAUGAAUAAAGAAUUCGUAGAUUUCAGCUGAUCGUGGCAGAAAAUUAUGACAACCUCCGUUAGGCAGACAUGUGGAUGAAUGCUCACGCCUGUCUGCGGGUAGCCUGGAAAAUGCAUGGUUAAAUGACAUGUGUGGUUGAAAAACCAGGGUGAACAUCACUUUAGGUGCUUGAUAUCUUUUUUUGUAAUGGCUUCAUUAUUUUUAUUUGUUUUAGUGAUUUUAUUAGGAAUUAUUUAAUGGGUUCUUGUAUCCCAAAAAAGAUUAAUGUUUACUGACAAUAAUGUCAAAGCGUAAUCGGCUUAUAAGAUUUUGUAAAUUCAUAAUAGAAAGAGUGGGUGCUAUGCUUGCAAACGCCAUGACACUAACAGCAGCGGUGGUAGAAAACUCUCUGUAAGCCAUGCCUGCUGGCUCAGGCCUAUAAACUCAGCAUUCAGAAGGCCGAGGCAGGAGGACCACUCGUUUGAGGCCAGCCUGGGUAACUUAGUAAGAUCCCAUGGCAACAUAGAAAGUAAGACGGCAUUGGUGAUGUAGGUCAGGGUUACAGCUCCCGUUCAACACGCGUGAACUCCUUAGUUCAAUCCCUAGUACCACAAAAUAAUACUUUUCAAAAUGAAAGCGAAUGGAAUCUGGUUCUGUAUUUCACACCUCCACUUGCAUGGUAAGGAGCACUUUUGUAGCUGAUUCUUCAUGUGUCCCCCACCCUUAGGGGAGGCACCCUUCCAAACAGUGUUCAGUGGUCAAAGAGUGCCAGCCAGGUCAAGGCCAAAAGAGGGUCUCUUGGCAAAAUUUCUAUAGCUGGACGGAAAUGGGAGGAGCAGAGGGACAGACAAGAUGGGAGAAAGCUAGCCUGCGUUGUCUUUUCCUCCAGGUUGAGAGCUGAAAAAUCUGCUUAAAAAGAAAUGUGAGACCACUUGCAUAACAGUUUUUUUUUUUUUAACAGUUUUGUUUCUUUCUCCCGCUGCAUAUUUGGAGUCCGGUUGUGUCAGCAGACCCUGGCAUGAUCUACUGUGUAUAUGACUUUUCUACCCUAUGCCCUAGAAAGAAGGGUGUCAAGGGAGGCCUGGCUCUGGACACAGGGAACAUAUUGUUGCAGUGAUUCUGCUACAGUGAAAACCAGACUCCUUCUCUGAAACUAACUUUGCUACACAUGCAAAAAAAAGAAGCCAUUCCCAUUAGUUUUUUCCUGGCCCACGGUAGAACCACAAGUAAGGCUUCUGUGGCAAAGGGGUGAUUUUUCUGGGUUGAGGGAAACUGGCUUACCUAUUGUUCUUGGCACAAAAAGAGGGGCACUCUUUGAGACAAGGGAGACAGAACAAAGUGGAAAGUUCACAAAACAUAUUAAUCUUCCCAAACAAAGAAAUAGCAAAUUAUUUUCCCUUUAAAACUUUGCUUAUUUGUGUGUUUAGAAGUUGGGAUUACAGUUUAGGGAAAUCAUCACAGCCCUGAGCUGUCUUGUCACCUACUAUCAGUGUGCAUUUAAUGCUGUGUUGAAAAGUUGGCCACAAGAGUUCUGCUGUGGCUACUCGGUAAGAUGAUCAUCUUGAAGUUUUGCUUCUCCUGGAGAGGAUUCUCGCAUAGCUGAGGUAGGUAUGCGGGUUGUGGGAAAUGCAUUAAUAAAUACCAUUUGAAAUCACAAUGGAUCUUGAAUUUGGGGCAACGCAGUGCCACACUUUGAAGCGAAUACCUUUCACUUGGAAAUGGUUAAGCUUGCUUCAAGUUAGGGUCUCCAAAUCACAGUCGAGUUGGCAAGGGAAGGUGAUCUCCGACGCGUGUGUUUCCCCCAGUUGCCUAUUAGAUACAAAUAUUGGAGAACACCUCAUUCCUUCAGAAGCUUUGUAGAGACAUAAACUAAUAACCUACUCCAGUUACACUCUGAGGUAAGAAUGGGUUGUGGCAAAGGAACCAAGUGGGGACUGUGCAUUCUUAGACCUGAUCAUUUCCCUUUGGACAAAACCCUGAGCUUGCAAGACUCCGAAGUCUAGCACAUACUGUUUUAGUCUUUCUUGUGUGUCUCCGUUACUAGGCAGCCUGAAGAAAUGGAGCAGAGGUGGGACUGAAUACACACACUCAUUCUCCUGACAGCACUGGUGAGGCCUUUUUGUUGCUUACUUCUAAUUGAAUACACUAAAAUUAACAAAUGUUUUUCUGGAAAAGAAAAAAAAAAUCACUCCGAGAGAAUAGAGAUGACUAGAAAAAGGUAAGGUUUGCUUAGGAGGAGAAGGGUGACGUAGUAAUUUAGGAUAUGAUCGUCCCAUCUCUGAUUCUACACCAGGACUGACAAAACAAAACAGGAGACAGGCAACCUAAUUUUUUUCCUCCUUUGUUUUCAUAUUUCAAGUAAAAUGGCAGCCUCCAUCAGCCAAAGGCCACAGGACUGUGGUGCAGAGCUAAGGCAACUUCAUGCUCAAAGCAGAAGAAAAGUAACCGAGACACUGUAGAACAUACUUUGAAUCCUAGCUCCUUGAGAGGCCUUUACAAGUAAGCGACUUCUGCAGGUCUUUGGCGCAUUUUACAUUUGUGGACUGUGACCUCUGAACUCGACCUUCAAGAAGGAAGUCUCAAUGAAGGAUGUACUUGUGUCCAGGUCUUAUGAUUUUUACCUUCAGUCAUGUCGCUUGGAAUCAUUCUUGCCCCAACAAGGGCUCUGCUAUCCUCUGUGGUUAGAUAAUCCCUUGGAUGAUGGUCAAACCGUCUGCAGUGCAUAAAAAUGCCAGCAUUCACUCCAUCCAGCUACCUUCAUGUUUAUAUGCACAGUACAUCUCUGUAGCCACACCUUGAUUUUGUGUUUAUGUGGUGUUUGGGGAUGUGUACCACUUAGCUACAGAAUGUUAAAAUUUCUUUCCUGGUCACUGUGCUGCAUGACUGAUCCAUUUCAUGUGAUAUAUUUAGUAUGGUUCAUUGCCCACUGGUCUUAUUAUUUAAUAAUUUGCAUUAAAUUGAAUUUUCUAUUUACAGGUGUAAAUGGAAAUUUUGGCUUCUGAGAGCAUAUUAUUUCCUGGCUAGAAUGUUCUUGGGUGAAUUAGAUCUGCCAUUAUUAGAUUGUACAUACCUGGACUAAGCUGGGGCUGUUUAAUGACAAAAUCCUUGUUAUUUUAUUUUAUUUUUUGUGAUUAGGCUUGAGUUUCUGAGGCCAGGCAAAUUUCAUCAAUUUAAGAGACAUUACUAUUACUCUACAGAAGUUAAAAACCACACCAAACUAACAAAACAAAACAUGUAUAUGUCUUGAUGGAUCAGAGGGAGUUGUAUUAGCUUCCUGUGACAAACUCUUCCUAGGGAGAUACAACACACACAUCUUCUCACCCCAGGUAGGGACCCCAUGACAGCCCAAAGUAUGAAUACCACCAAAGACUAACUUAGUGAACCCAUGUGUUUUAAAGGGGUUAUUUACAAGAGUAUGGGUAAUAGAUUAUUUACAGGAACAGAAAUGACACAAAAGAUAUCCAC
rnacentral:lncRNA from 1 species